GAGAAUCGGAUGUAACUUUUUCUGUAGAUAUCCGUGAAUAUAUUAUUUGCCUGAUUCCGAGUCCGUAUGAGAAAGUUAUGCCUAUUUUAA
rnacentral:rRNA from 1 species